ACCUACGGGAGGCAGCAGUGGGGAAUAUUGCACAAUGGGCGCAAGCCUGAUGCAGCGACGCCGCGUGAGGGAUGACGGCCUUCGGGUUGUAAACCUCUUUCAGCAGGGGAGAAGCGAAAGUGACGGUACCUGCAGAAGAAGCGCCGGCUAACUACGUGCCAGCAGCCGCGGUAAUACGUAGGGCGCGAGCGUUGUCCGGAAUUAUUGGGCGUAAAGAGCUUGUAGGCGGUUUGUCGCGUCUGCUGUGAAAGCCCGGGGCUUAACUCCGGGUUUGCAGUGGGUACGGGCUAACUAGAGUGCAGUAGGGGAGACUGGAAUUCCUGGUGUAGCGGUGGAAUGCGCAGAUAUCAGGAGGAACACCGAUGGCGAAGGCAGGUCUCUGGGCUGUAACUGACGCUGAGAAGCGAAAGCAUGGGGAGCGAACAGGAUUAGAUACCCUGGUAGUCCAUGCCGUAAACGUUGGGCACUAGGUGUGGGGGACAUUCCACGUUUUCCGCGCCGUAGCUAACGCAUUAAGUGCCCCGCCU
rnacentral:rRNA from 1 species